rnacentral:tRNA from 1 species
CGCGACGUGUCCGAGUGGCCAGGUGACAGUCUGCAAAACUGUUUACGUCGGUUCGAAUCCGAUCGUCGCGU